AUACGUAGGUGGCAAGCGUUGUCCGGAAUUAUUGGGCGUAAAGCGCGCGCAGGCGGGAUAUCAAGUCUGUCUUAAAAGUGCGAGGCUCAACCUCGUGAGGGGACGGAAACUGGUAUUCUUGAGUGUCGGAGAGGAAAGUGGAAUUCCAAGUGUAGCGGUGAAAUGCGUAGAGAUUUGGAAGAACACCAGUGGCGAAGGCGACUUUCUGGACGAUGUCUGACGCUGAGGCGCGAAAGCUAGGGGAGCGAACGGGAUUAGAUACCCCGGUAGUCCUAGCCGUAAACGAUGGGUACUAGGUGUAGGGGGUAUCGACCCCUCCUGUGCCGGAGUUAACGCAAUAAGUACCCCGCCUGGGGAGUACGGCCGCAAGGUUGAA
rnacentral:rRNA from 1 species